UGCAAGUCGAGCGGUAGCACAGAGAGCUUGCUCUCGGGUGACGAGCGGCGGACGGGUGAGUAAUGUCUGGGAAACUGCCUGAUGGAGGGGGAUAACUACUGGAAACGGUAGCUAAUACCGCAUAACGUCGCAAGACCAAAGUGGGGGACCUUCGGGCCUCAUGCCAUCAGAUGUGCCCAGAUGGGAUUAGCUGGUAGGUGGGGUAACGGCUCACCUAGGCGACGAUCCCUAGCUGGUCUGAGAGGAUGACCAGCCACACUGGAACUGAGACACGGUCCAGACUCCUACGGGAGGCAGCAGUGGGGAAUAUUGCACAAUGGGCGCAAGCCUGAUGCAGCCAUGCCGCGUGUGUGAAGAAGGCCUUCGGGUUGUAAAGCACUUUCAGCGGGGAGGAAGGCGGUGAGGUUAAUAACCUCAUCGAUUGACGUUACCCGCAGAAGAAGCACCGGCUAACUCCGUGCCAGCAGCCGCGGUAAUACGGAGGGUGCAAGCGUUAAUCGGAAUUACUGGGCGUAAAGCGCACGCAGGCGGUCUGUCAAGUCGGAUGUGAAAUCCCCGGGCUCAACCUGGGAACUGCAUUCGAAACUGGCAGGCUAGAGUCUUGUAGAGGGGGGUAGAAUUCCAGGUGUAGCGGUGAAAUGCGUAGAGAUCUGGAGGAAUACCGGUGGGCGAAGGCGGCCCCCUGGACAAAGACUGACGCUCAGGUGCGAAAGCGUGGGGAGCAAACAGGAUUAGAUACCCCUGGUAGUCCACGCUGUAAACGAUGUCGAUUUGGAGGUUGUGCCCUUUGAGGCGUGGCUUCCGGAGCUAACGCGUUAAAUCGACCGCCUGGGGAGUACGGCCGCAAGGUUAAAACUCAAAUGAAUUGACGGGGGCCCGCACAAGCGGUGGAGCAUGUGGUUUAAUUCGAUGCAACGCGAAGAACCUUACCUGGUCUUGACAUCCACAGAACUUUCCAGAGAUGGAUUGGUGCCUUCGGGAACUGUGAGACAGGUGCUGCAUGGCUGUCGUCAGCUCGUGUUGUGAAAUGUUGGGUUAAGUCCCGCAACGAGCGCAACCCUUAUCCUUUGUUGCCAGCGGUUAGGCCGGGAACUCAAAGGAGACUGCCAGUGAUAAACUGGAGGAAGGUGGGGAUGACGUCAAGUCAUCAUGGCCCUUACGACCAGGGCUACACACGUGCUACAAUGGCAUAUACAAAGAGAAGCGACCUCGCGAGAGCAAGCGGACCUCAUAAAGUAUGUCGUAGUCCGGAUUGGAGUCUGCAACUCGACUCCAUGAAGUCGGAAUCGCUAGUAAUCGUAGAUCAGAAUGCUACGGUGAAUACGUUCCCGGGCCUUGUACACACCGCCCGUCACACCAUGGGAGUGGGUUGCAAAAGAAGUAGGUAGCUUAACCUUCGGGAGGGCGCUACC
rnacentral:rRNA from 1 species